rnacentral:rRNA from 1 species
UACGUAGGGUGCGAGCGUUGUCCGGAAUUAUUGGGCGUAAAGGGCUCGUAGGCGGUUUGUCGCGUCGGGGAGUGAAAACCCAGGGCUUAACCCUGGGCCUGCUUCCGAUACGGGCAGACUAGAGGUAUGCAGGGGAGAACGGAAUUCCUGGUGUAGGCGGUGAAAUGCGCAGAUAUCAGGAGGAACACCGGUGGCGAAGGCGGUUCUCUGGGCAUUACCUGACGCUGAGGAGCGAAAGUGUGGGGAGCGAACAGG